AUUGAACGCUGGCGGCAGGCCUAACACAUGCAAGUCGAGCGAGCGGCGGAAGGGUGAGCAAUGUAUGUGCAUCUGCCUGAUGGAGGGCGAUAACUACUGGACACGGUAGCUAAUACCGCCUACCAUAGGCUGGGCCGAUAUGGGAUUAGCUUGUAGGUGAGGUAACGGCUCACCUAGGCGACGAGCCCUAGCUGGUCUGAGAGGAUGAUCAGCCACACUGGGACUGAGACACGGCCCAGACUCCUACGGGAGGCAGCAGUGGGGAAUAUUGCACAAUGGGCGCAAGCCUGAUGCAGCCAUGCCGCGUGUAUGAAGAAGGCCUUCGGGUUGUAAAGUACUUUCAGUCGGGAGGCGUUACCAACAGAAGAGGCACCGGCUAACUCCGUGCCAGCAGCCGCGGUAAUUC
rnacentral:rRNA from 1 species